rnacentral:tRNA from 1 species
ACCUCUUUAGCUCAGUGGCAGAGCACUGGUCUUGUAAACCAGGGGUCGUGAGUUCAAUCCUCACAGGAGGCA